rnacentral:rRNA from 1 species
GACGAACGCUGGCGGCGUGCUUAACACAUGCAAGUCGAACGAAGUGGCGAACGGGUGAGUAACGCGUAAUCAACCUGCACUUCAGAGGGGGACAACAGUUGGAAACGACUGCUAAUACCGCAUACUGAAGGAGGGGAUUGCGUCGGAUUAGCUAGUUGGAGGGUGAACGGCCCAACAAGGCGAUGGUCAGUAGCCGGUCUGAGAGGAUUAACGGCCACAUUGGGACUGAGAACCGGCCCAGACUCCUACGGGAGGCAGCAGUGGGGAAUCUUCCGCAAUUGACGGAAGUCUGACGGCGCAACGCCGCGUGAGUGAUGACGGCCUUCGGGUUGUAAAGCUCUGUUAAUCGGGACGCGGUACCGGAAUAGAAAGCCACGGCUAACUACGUGCCAGCCGCCGCGGUAAUUC